ensembl:snoRNA
UGGUCAUUACCAAUGCUUUUAGAAUACAGUUUUUCACUUGCUGUGACAUGACCAUAAAAAAAUUUCCCACCAGGUUUUCUCUGCUACCGUGCUAGCCAUCAAAUCUACUGGGAACAUUU